GUCGAACGCGAAAGUCCCCUUCGGGGGGCAAGUAGAGUGGCGCACGGGUGAGUAACACGUAGGUAAUCUACCUUUGGAUGGGGAAUAACAAUCGGAAACGAUUGCUAAUACCGCAUAAUGCAGCGGCACCUAAUGGUGACAGUUGUUAAAGCGGGGGAUCGAAAGACCUCGCGUCUGAAGAGGAGCCUGCGGCGGAUUAGCUAGUUGGUAAGGUAAUGGCUUACCAAGGCGACGAUCCGUAACCGGCCUGAGAGGGCGGUCGGUCACACUGACACUGACAUACGGGUCAGACUCCUACGGGAGGCAGCAGUCGGGAAUUUUGGGCAAUGGGCGAAAGCCUGACCCAGCAACGCCGCGUGAAGGAUGAAAUCCCUCGGGAUGUAAACUUCGCAAGAACGGGAAGAAUAAGUAGGGGUCAAUACCCCCUAUGAUGACGGUACCGUUUGUAAGCUCCGGCUAACUCCGUGCCAGCAGCCGCGGUAAUACGGGGGGAGCAAGCGUUGUUCGGAUUUACUGGGCGUAAAGGGCGCGUAGGCGGCCAGCACAAGUCAGUUGUGAAAUCUCCGAGCUUAACUCGGAACGGUCAACUGAUACUGUGCGGCUAGAGUGCAGAAGGGGCAACUGGAAUUCUUGGUGUAGCGGUGAAAUGCGUAGAUAUCAAGAGGAACACCUGCGGCGAAGGCGGGUUGCUGGGCUGACACUGACGCUGAGGCGCGAAAGCUAGGGG
rnacentral:rRNA from 1 species